UGAGUUUGUCUGGACUGUCCUCUGCUGAAGGCUCUGUGGAGCUGAGAGACAGAGAAAGACAGAAGUGGAACAAGAGAAAAAUUAAAUACAGUUUAAUGUUCAUUAGAUGGAGCCAGACAGGCAAAAGGAAAACAGCUCUGCAACUCAAUGAUUAUUUACCCAUUUACAGGGUCCAGAGCUUGUAUGUGCUCCUCCAGACUGCGAGAAGGGCCCAGCAUCACAGGAGACUGAGAACCUGUAAUCACAAACACCCCACACUGAGCAAACUCCUACUUCAAUGAAUGGGCCUAAGCAAAUAGUAAAAACAUUGCAAGGCACAGAUGUACCCACCAUCCUGAAGAGUUCCUGUGGUGGACAGCAGUUGCAGUGAUUUUCUGUGGGAGCCCUCUGC